rnacentral:rRNA from 1 species
GGCGUGCCUCAGACAUGCAAGUCGAACGAUUAAGACUUCCUUCGGGAAGUGCAUAAAGUGGCGCACGGGUGAGUAAUACAUAAAUAAUCUGCCCAUAUGACUGGGAUAACUAUUGGAAACGAUAGCUAAUACCGGAUAGGUUAAUCGGAGGCAUCUCUGAUGAAUUAAAGUAGGAUUUCUACACAAAUGGAUGAGUUUAUGGCGCAUUAGUUAGUUGGUGGGGUAACGGCCUACCAAGACGAUGAUGCGUAGCCGACCUGAGAGGGUGACCGGCCACACUGGGACUGAGACACGGCCCAGACUCCUACGGGAGGCAGCAGUAGGGAAUUUUCGGCAAUGGGCGCAAGCCUGACCGAGCAACGCCGCGUGAGUGAUUAAGGCCUUCGGGUUGUAAAGCUCUGUUGUAAGGGAAGAACAUUCAGGAUAGGAAAUGAUCUUGAACUGACGGUACCUUACCAGAAAGCCACGGCUAACUACGUGCCAGCAGCCGCCGUAA